AUGAAAUAUGAAGUUUUAUUAAAAGAAAAAGGGGUGAAAAGAACAAAGUUUUGUCCAUCUUUGUUCAUCAUAGCUGAAAGUUAGAGAAGAGAAAGGAGAGGAGAAAGCUCUUGAGUAUUCGGUCAUUAGGAGGAGGAAAAUUGAAGGCAGUUCGUGUGUGGAUCUCGUCAACAUAUCGUCGCAAACAGG